rnacentral:rRNA from 1 species
UGCAUGCUUUAUACAUGCAAGUCGAACGAAGGCCCUAGCUUGCUAGGUGUCCUUAGUGGCGCACGGGUGAGUAACACGUGGGAACAUACCUCAUAGUACGGAAUAACUGCGGGAAACUGUAGCUAAUACCGUAUAUUCCAGAAAUGGGAAAGAUUUAUCGCUAUGAGAUUGGCCCGCGCAAGAUUAGCUUGUUGGUAAGGUAACGGCUUACCAAGGCUCCGAUCUUUANCUGGUUUGAGAGGAUGAUCAGCCACACUGGGACUGAGACACGGCCCAGACUCCUACGGGAGGCAGCAGUAGGGAAUAUUGGACAAUGGGGGAAACCCUGAUCCAGCAAUGCAGCGUGAGUGACGAAGGCCUUUAGGUUGUAAAACUCUUUCAUCGGUGAGGAUAAUGACAGUAGCCGAAGAAGAAGGACCGGCUAAUUCCGUGCCAGCAGCCGCGGUAAUAC